rnacentral:rRNA from 1 species
AUGCAACGCGAAGAACCUUAACCUGGUCUUGACAUCCCGGAGACCCUUAGGAAACUAGGGGGUGCUUCCAUCUGGAAGAAUCUGGAGACAGGUGCUGCAUGGCUGUCGUCAGCUCGUGUCGUGAGAUGUUGGGUUAAGUCCCGCACGAGCGCAACCCUUGCCUUUAGUUGCCAGCAGUUCGGCUGGGCACUCUAAAGGGACUGCCGGUGUUAAACCGGAGGAAGGUGGGGAUGACGUCAAGUCCUCAUGGCCUUUAUGACCAGGGCUACACACGUACUACAAUGGCCGAUACAAAGGGCAGCGACACUGCGAGGUGAAGCCAAUCCCGUAAAAUCGGUCUCAGUCCGGAUUGGAGUCUGCAACUCGACUCCAUGAAGUUGGAAUCGCUAGUAAUCGUGGAUCAGCAUGCCACGGUGAAUACGUUCCCGGGCCUU